AGUAAUGGUUAUAUCGCUGACAUGUAGUUACGUUCAUCCCUGACGGUAGAGGAAAGAUUCACAGUUUACUCUCUAAUCGAGAAUAAUUAGCAUAGAAUCGUCGCAUAAUACUGUAAUAAAAUAUUAGUAUCGCUUAUUUAAAGACCAUUGCUGUAAGGGAACUGGACUUUGUAUUACAUAUUCAACAACAGCAACGAGACUUAGUGUGUUACUAAAUGUCCAUUAGGGUAAAGCUGCACUCACCUCAGGAUACAAUUUACAGAUUGUGACCGCUGCCAGUGCUUCACCUUUUAGAAACAAGAGGGCUGUUAGUACGUAGUGUCUGCUUGAUGAUGGAAAGGAAUGUGAAGAAGCAUUCAUUAAGAUAUUUCUCACUGGUUUGUAUAUUGGACAACUCUGUUUAAAGUCAUUUCUCAUUUUUAAGUGUUCUCUUCAUAGAGAAUUAUGUAUGUAUUAUGAGUAGUGUGUUUUCAGUUUUGAGUCAUAUGUCAACAUAGUCUGAUAUUCAUAAUUUGAUGGUGUCACAUUCUACUUGUCAAGGCAUCCUUCCACCCCAGUUCGUUUUUCAUUUAAGUAACAGUAAUCCAUUUACAAAUAUGAUAGUUUCUACUAUACUAUUAUAAAGUAGACCUUCAGUAAUGUUAGUUCUUUUUUAUUGUGAUCAUGAUAAAUGGUCCUUCAUAAUUGUCUUAUGGGUUAUUGGUUAUAAGUGUACGAACAACAUUUUUGCCCUCAUGAAAUUAUAAAAGAAUUGCAAGAGACUAGAAGCAGUUCCAUCUGUUUCUGUAAUUGCCCUCACUGUUUGAGCAAACCUUGAGGCUACAGGGUUGGUCCUGAGGUAAAGAAGCAGAAACGUGAAGAGCAAAAUAUUCACUCACCUGUUGAAGAGAGUCUGAAGGAAAGGGAAGUAUGUUUAAAAGUUCGGUCCAUUGCAUCACAGUGUGAGCUGAAGGUCAAACUGUCAAUGUCAAAACUGUCUGAUUUGUGGAGUAUUACAAAAACUACAUCUGUAUUAUUUACUAACAUUCAAACAGGUCCUGCUCCUGUGACAAAAUGUUCUGUUCUUGUUAGUGAAACCAAUGAUGAAUAGUAUUUGUUUUGAACAAGUGAACAAACAAGUUAGGCCUAAAUAGGGAUGAGUUUCUGCGAAAGUUUUCAAGCAUUGUCAAAUCAGAUAAUCUGUUAGACAGAGUGGAAAAAGCAGACAUGUAGAUUAACAUAGCAAAUAAUACUGAGAAGAUUAAGAGUUUUGAGUGUGACAUUCUGCAGACAUUUUAGUUAUCUGAGUAUGAAAAGAGCAAAAGCAUUCACUUUAUCAUUGAAUAGCUGAAGUUACUAUGAUCAAAGAAACUUUUGCAUACUCCAUCAGAUAUGAUACUUUCUUGUUUAUAUUACAGUAUUUCUCCAUGUGCUUAUGGAUUUAAUAUGGAUUUUUUUUGUAGGCCCUCAUCCAUCAACAAUUCAAAGAGUGUGUUCUAGUAUUACCUCAGGUAUCCAGAAAGAAUCACGUGAAAAUAAUUUUUGUCAUAUGCAAGAGUUAAAUGUAAAUUUCUUAAACCACAUAUUAUGUCAACCUUCUUAUAGAUGAAACAUAUCUAAAAGAAGUCAAAGGAGGAAAUGUUGUUGAUAUGGUAAAUGGUGAAUAUUAGACAGCAAUAUCAGCAUUUUUUUCAUUACCCACAAUAUACAGAGUAAUUUUAAAGAUGUUGUUCAUAUUUUGCUUGUCAAGAAAUUAACAGGUGAUAAUUUGCAUCAGUGGAUUAAAAGAAUUCUAUUUGGUCUUGAAAAUACAGGAUACAGAGAAUUGUCUGUCAUUUCAGACAAUAAUUGUGUUAAUAGAAAAUCAGUGUCAUCAUUUUCAAAUCCCACUGCAUUCUCUUAUAUAUGUAACCACCCUAAAGUUCAAUGAGACCCUUGCUUUUGUUAAUUGACUCUGUACGCAUUAUGAAGUGCAUCUGGGAUAACAAACAACAUUUUUUACGAUUUAUCCCACAUUUAAAAACAAUGUUUCUAGCAGGCAUUACGCCUGUUUUGACACCUUACUGAAUGUAAAUGAUGUUGAACAUGAACAUUAGCAAAACGUUGUUGUGGUAUGACUUUGAAAACAAUGAGAAACAAUAACUUUGAAAAACAAAACACUAAAUUAACUGUGAAAGUUUUCAGUGAUGUCACAACUGAUGCCCUUCAAAACCCUGCAUACAAAACACGCCUUAUCUCACUGUGUAGGAACAGCAAAUUAUAUUUGUUUGUUUGUCAAUGGUGUAAGAUAAGACUGAUUUGCUUGAAGAGGGAUUUGUAAAGCAUAGGCCAUUAUGUGCAGGUCAGUACAUCAUCAUCAGGCAGAUGUGUAGGUAGAAAAGAAUGUACACUUGCCCCCUGUAAUCAAGCUAGUUUCAAAAUCAAUUGUUUUCGUAGAGAUCAGCGUACAAUCCAUUCAGGAUAUUUUCUCUGUGGUACCAAAUACUGACUUUGAUAUUUGUUCCCUGCAUGAUAAAACAGUACUUAAUUCAUCAGAAAUGCGAGCAAAUUGCAAUAAUGAUUUACCUGUUUUGACAUAUGCAGGUUACUGUUAUUACUCUGUUCUGAAACAUACAAAAUGUGAGUUUUUUUAAAGGUAUUCUGGUGUUAUGUGAGAUUUUAGGUGAUCAAGAAAUGUAUUCCCUAAAGCAGAAUGUGAGUAGAGCAAAACUACUUACACCUUGCUCUCAAGUUAGCAGUGUGUUUGUCACUACUUACCUGUCAAUAAAGAAACUGUGUGGUAAAUUUUAAACUGAAGUUCUUAGUACCAAAUGAAAGAGAACUGGUUUCAAAUCUGACAUGAAAUUCAGUUUUAAUGACUCCUCAAGAUAUUUGCAGAACAAAUGUUUUUUCUUAACAAUUUCACUAGCAAAAAGAAUCAAAGCAUUUUGAAGGAUGUCGACCCUACAAAGAAAAACAUAUUUAACAAAAGUAAGAGAAGCCUGAAUUAAGCUUUAACUUUAUACAGUGUGCAGAAUUUGUGUGGAGGAAUAUGGUUGCAAUCACACUAUAUGAAUAAGCUAUAUCAGUAUUGUAAUUCAUUAUUAACCUGUUUUCAUUGUAACUAUUAAGAACAAUAAAGCUAUUGCUUAAAAAAGGAUUGAGUAAUAGAUCUUUCCUUGUGAAAUCAACCAACAGUCUAGUUCUUGACGCCUUAGAUUUUGAUAGUUUCUUUUUUUUUCAUUGUGCUCAUUGUGCUACUUGCUCCAACUGUUAUUACCUUCACAUUUUCAUGAGCUGUACAAACGCAAACAUUGUGACCCCCGUUAGCUCCACAUAUAAUACAACGGUUUGGCCUUAAUAUAGUGAAAUUUGAGAAUCCAAUUUGAUCUGAAAAGUUUGUACACUUCUCUUAGGUUUCGUAAACGUAACCCAUUUUGAACAUACAUAUCCUUGCCAUCACCAUCGUUUCGCAUAGAAAUAUAAUCCUGUUAGUCAGGUAUUCACCUGCUAGUAUUAUCAUUACAAUAAAACUCUUGCACUAACAGAACUGUUUUAGCAGUCACGGACUGUCCAGGCCUAGAAUCAGGAGCAGAGAGUGCUGGUAUGUCGUUUUCUUCCACUAUUUUUUUCUUUUCUUACGAUGUAUUUGCUUACUCCAGACUCUUUCUAUAUGAGUGCACUGCCGACAUUGAUCAGGGAAGUCAACACUACAAAUUUUUCACUUUUACUUAAAAUGUAAACCUUUUCUUUACACUAGUAGUUCAUUUCUGCUUGUGUAUCAUCACUGCCACAUAUUUUCUCAUGUUCACCCAUUUCUAUUUGAAAGAAAGUUUCAGUUAAUUUCAAUGCAAUUUCAUCAACUUUAUCUGUGAAGUAUUUAUUUGAUCUGAUAAAGUUCUUCAUUAUUGAGGAUUUCCUUACUGAUGCUAAAGAGGUGUUCAACAAAUGCAAACUUUCUUCAGCAUUCACACAUUCAGGGUCAUCAGAUAUUCUACAAGUCAAUUGUUCUUGUCUAUAAGAUAAUUUGGUUUCAGUUAUCAGUGGUUCAGGUUUUCUUUCAUCGAUAAUUUCUCUCUACAUAAAGUGCAGAUUUUCAUUCUUUCUUCAGUACCAAAAUUCAGAUCAAUCUUCCAAGAAAUUUCCAAGAUACCCUUUGUGAGCUUCUUUUCAAGGGAGUGCAAGAACACUUUGACCACUUUUUAUCCACAGUGUGUGUUCUUAAGAAAUCAAAAAAGAUAAAUCACUAACAGAAAAAAGAUAAAAUCUGUAAGAGGUAUAAAAAUGUAAAUUUCAUUAGUACAAAUUCUAUUAAUACAUUAAUUGUGAGUGUACCAAAAUCAACACCUUUUUUAAAUACCAUUACACAAACCUAAUAAUGCAUGCUAGUGAAGUUUAGUGCUAGAGUCGUCAGAUUGUACUGAAUCUAAUUGCUUUCUCUGUAAAGUGCACUGCUACUUUUUAGAAAAGUAUCUACAUUAAUCUUGACUCAUGUGUCACAUGUUGUAUUGCACCAACUUGUCCCCUAUUCAAUCUUCAGUGCUUUCAUAAUUUUGUUUCAGAAACCGAUUCAUUAUUGCAUCAAUAAAAUUGAAAUGAUUUUUU